CCUGACUCAUGAAGCGUGGAGCGACCCAGGAACAUCCCAGCUCCUCAUGUCCCACAUUCUUCAGGCUUUCUCUUAGUUUUGGCAUGUGCAUGUAAAUGUCAACAGCUGCUUCUGCUGACUCCUCGUCUCAAUUAAUCGCGGCUCUGUCUUCCGUUUGCUGAAGCCGAAGACCUCCCCGCUCUCUCAGAGCCCAUGUCUGGCACAUCAGCGAAUCUCGUUGGCACUGCCGUCAAACACAUCCAUCUAGGAUCUCCCCGCACUUCACGCCACCCACCGCGCUAGUCUGUGGAUCCCUGUUUCUCUCUUGGAUGUAGUAAUAGUCACAUAGCUGGACUUCUGCCCUGGCACUUCUUCAGCCCCUUGUUAGAGGAAUCCUGCUAAAUGUUGGAUGAUUUACCCCCCACCUCCCGCACCCCCCGCCACACACACAUAGGAGCUCCACUGGCUCCUCAUAACUCUCAGGGUGCCAGCCUGUCUCUGCCAUGACCCGAAAGCUCUCCGUCAUCUGUCUCCCGCCCCUCCCUCACUGACUCUAUCUGCCACCCUCUCCCUGUUGUCCACGCUGCCCCAGCCCCACAGGCCUCCUCCUGUUCCUCAGACUCCCCAGGGAUACUCCUGCCUCAGGGCCUUUGCCCUGGCUAUUCCCUCCAGCUACAAUGCUCUUCCUGAAUCUGCAUGAUUCGAUGCCCACUCCCCCAUUCUCAGCCUGUCCCCACAUCUCAGUGAGCCCUGCCCGGGCCACCCUGGAAAAUCUCAGCAUCCCAGGCUGGGCGUGGUGGCUCAUGCCUGUAAUCUCAGCACCUUGGGAGGCCAAGGCAGGCAGAUUGCUUGAGCUCAGGAGUUUGAGACCAGCCUGGCCAACAUGGCGAAACCCCAUCUCUCCUAAAAAUACAAAAAUUAGCUGAGUGUGGUGGUGCGUGCCUGUAAUCACAGCUACUUGGGAGGCUGAGGCAGCAGAAUCGAUUGAACCUGGGAGGCAGAGGUUUCAGUGAGCCGAGAUCAUGCCACUGCACUCCAGCCUGGGCGACAGAGCGAGACUCCAUCUAACACACACAAAAAAAGCACUUUUUUUUCAUCCUCCCAGCACUUCUUGUCCUCCUUGCUUCCCUUGUUUUUUUUUUUUUUCACAUUCACACAUAUGAUGAUCCAGCAUUCUACAUAUUUUAUUUAUCUUAUUUAUUUUCAGUCUUCUCCACUCAAAUGUAUGAUAUUUAAGGCAGGGGUUUUAAAAUGUCUUGUUCUUGGCCAGGCAUGGUGGCUCACACGUGUAAUUCUAGCACUUUGGGAGGCCGAGGCAGGUGGAGCACCUGAGGUCAGGAGUUCAAGACCAGCCUGGUCAACAUGGCGAAACCCCGUCUCUACUAAAAAUACGAAAUUAGCCAGGCGUGGUGGCGGACGCCUGUAAUCCCAGCUAUAAUCCCAGCUACUCAGGAGGCUGAAGCAGGAGAAUCGCUUGAACCUGGGAGGCAGAGCUUGCAGUGAGCCGAGAUCACGCCACUACACUGCAGCCUGGGUGACAGAGUGAGACUCCAUCUCAAAAAACAACAACAAAAUAAAUAAAUAAAUAAAAAUAAAAUGUCUUGUUCUCUUUUUUCCUCCAGUGCCCAGAUCAGCGCCUGAUAUAUACUUGGCACACAAUAACCACUCUUGAAAUUCAUGAAGGAAUCUGGACAUUUAGGGGGUUCACAGAAUCCGCCGCUUUUAGGGAAGAUUCUCUGCCUGAUGUGUGAGCGCUCUAACCUCUUCAUCUGUGUUCAGUCCCCUUGCAAUGCUUCUCUAAGAUCAAUAAAGGCAAAAACCAGGAGAUCCCAUAAAUCCCGCUGAGCCUGUCAUAGCUAUCAAAUUAUACCCAGAUAAAGCUUCUGGUGGCUAAUGACAUGGCCAUCACCCAGCGUGGACGUGGGCAGGAGGGGCUCUCCGGGAGCAUCUGGUCUGCUGUGGAGACACUUGUCAUCUGGAGGCUCUGUGGCUCUAAUGGAGGGUGAUGCUUUGAACGCGACUAUCUCCCCC
rnacentral:lncRNA from 1 species